GCCCACGUAGCUCAGUUUGGUAGAGCACGUUCUUGGUAAGAACGGGGUCGUCAGUUCGAUUCUGACCGUGGGCUCCA
rnacentral:tRNA from 1 species